GGAGUAAGAAGUUAGCCCGUGAUUAUCUAAUCAUGUGUGUUAAACCUUUCCUUAUUCCAUCCUUGUGGAAAGCAUAUCUGGCAUUUAGUUACUGGGUAUGUGAUCUGCAUCGUUUACUGUGAAAAAAUUAGAGUGUUUAAAGCAGGCUUUUGCCCGAAUACAUUAGCAUGGAAUGAUAAUAUAGGACUUUGUUGCUAUUUUAUUGGUUUGCACAGCAAAGUA
rnacentral:rRNA from 1 species